rnacentral:tRNA from 1 species
GCUCCCCUGGCGUAAUGGUAACGCGUUGGACUUCUAAUCCAAAGACUGUUCGAGACCCGCGGGGAGUG